UUCCACCUGCUGACUGGAGCUCUGAGCUCCCAGAAAGCUUGGACAGAGAGUGCCAGGGGAAUGAGAGAUCCUGGAUACACCCUCCCCAGCUGGGGCAGGUGCCUAGACGCCCAGAGCUCCCUCCUCUAUAGAAGGGAACUGUGGCAGGCACGGUCCAGUCUUGAACUGUGUGGAGACCUUAGAGGUGACACAUGUAUAGCAUUUGGACAGGCAUCUGUGAGUGCAGGGGACAUUUGGCCACGUCUGGGACAUGUUUGGUUGUCACAACUGGGGGAAGGGGUGCUACUGGCAUCUGGUGAGCAAAGGCCAAGGAUGCUGCUUGACACCCCACCGUGCACAGGACAGCCCCCAUGGCGGCGAGUGACAGAGCCCAAAAUGUCAGUGAUGCCCAGGCUUCGAAACCCUGGCCUGCUGGGUCACUUUGGGGUGAGAGUGGACACACAAGGGCCAGUCCAGAGGAAGGUGGGUGCCAGGACCAGGGGAAUGGCCAGGAAGACAGGAGGAGCACACGGGC